rnacentral:misc_RNA from 1 species
AACAUCGCGCACCUGCGGGAACCUGCGGAGGGAUCAUUAAAAAGAGUGUGUACCCCCCUGUAAAAUGGGUGGGUUACCUCCCGUCCUUUGUUGACCUCUUAGGAGGUUAUUUUGAACUUUCUGCUUCGGUGGGGUUAAACCUACCGGAACACCCUCAAAUUCUAAUCUUUAAAAAUUGUUCAGUCCGACUUUAAUAAAAUAAAACAAAAACUUUCAACAACGGAUCUCAGAUCGGAAGAG